rnacentral:rRNA from 1 species
GAUGAACGCUGGCGGCGUGCCUAAUACAUGCAAGUCCAGCGAACAGACGAGGAGCUUGCUCCUCUAACGUUAGCGGCGGACGGGUGAGUAACACGUGGAUAACCUACCUAUAAGACUGGGAUAACUUCGGGAAACCGGAGCUAAUACCGGAUAAUAUAUUGAACCGCAUGGUUCAAUAGUGAAAGACGGUUUUGCUGUCACUUAUAGAUGGAUCCGCGCCGCAUUAGCUAGUUGGUAAGGUAACGGCUUACCAAGGCGACGAUGCGUAGCCGACCUGAGAGGGUGAUCGGCCACACUGGAACUGAGACACGGUCCAGACUCCUACGGGAGGCAGCAGUAGGGAAUCUUCCGCAAUGGGCGAAAGCCUGACGGAGCAACGCCGCGUGAGUGAUGAAGGUCUUCGGAUCGUAAAACUCUGUUAUUAGGGAAGAACAAAUGUGUAAGUAACUAUGCACGUCUUGACGGUACCUAAUCAGAAAGCCACGGCUAACUACGUG